ACAAAAUCAAAACAAACUGCCAACUUGUCCUUUAUUUAGGCCAUGUUCCCUAGAAUCAUCCAGCUUUUUUAUUACUGUCAUUUUGCUUCUCUAUACAAACUCUCCUCAUUCUUAGCUUUCCAGUUUUCUGUGGGCCCGUUUCCUCAUGUGCUUCCUUCUUCUUCCUACUCUCAACUCUGCAAAAAACCCUACCACAUUGCACAAUGUUUCUCUUCUAAUCUUGAAAAAAGAUUGAAUUUUUGCUAUAAAGAACAGUUGGUUUCUUGUUUUUCUUCAUUGUGUGUCAAAAAGUUUCACUCUUUGCAAAAGAAAUGAACACCCUUCUUGGUUUAAAGCUUGUAUCUUUACUUGUUCUAUAAAGAACACUUGGGUUCUUGUUUUGUCAAAAAGUUUCAAUCUUUACAAAAGAAAUGAACACCCUUCUUGUGUUAAAGCUUGUAUCUUUACUUGUUCUGUAAAGAACACUUGGGUUCUUGUUUUUUAUUUCAUUGUGUUGUCAAAAAGUUUCAAUCUUUACAAAAGAAAACACCCAUCUUGGUUUAAAGCUUGCAGCUUUACUUGUUCUAUAAAGAACACUUGGGUUCUUGUGUGUUUUUCAUUGUCUUAUCAAAAAGUUUCAAUCUUUACAAAAGAAAUGAACACCCUUCUUGGUUUAAAGCUUGUAGCUUUACUUGUUCUAUAAAGAACACUCGGGUUCUUGUGUUUUUUUCAUUGUCUUGUCAAAAAGUUUCAAUCUUUACAAAAGAAAUGAACACCCUUCUUGGUUUAAAGCUUGUAUCUUUACUUGUUCUUGGUAUUUCUGCAUUUUUUUUGGGUGUUGAGUCUCAAGAUGAUGAUGUUUCAGUGAUGUUAGCUUUGAAAAAGAGCUUAAACCCACCUCAAGAAGUUGGAUGGUCAGACCCGGAUCCAUGCAAAUGGAACCAUGUGGGUUGUUCAGAUAAACGGGUGACCCGGAUCCAAAUUGGGCGGCAGAACAUUCAAGGUACUCUCCCUCCAGAAAUCUCUAAACUUACUGAACUUGAACGUUUAGAGCUUCAAGGGAACAAUAUUUCUGGCCCUUUGCCUAGUUUGAGUGGUUUGAGUUCAUUGCAAGUGUUACUGCUUGGUGAAAAUCAGUUUAGUUCAAUUCCUGCUGAUUUCUUUACUGAUAUGUCUUCAUUACUAUCUGUUGAUAUGGAUAAGAACCCUUUUGUUGGUUGGGAGAUCCCUGAAAGCCUUAGGAAUGCUUCUUCACUUAAAAACUUUUCAGCAAAUUCAGCAAAUGUAAUUGGGAGAAUUCCUAACUUUUUUAGUCCUGAUGAGUUUCCUGGAUUGGUAAAUUUACAUUUGGCUGGCAAUAACUUGGAAGGUGAAUUGCCCUCCAGUUUUUCUGGCUUGCUGCUUGAGUCUUUAUGGUUAAAUGGACAGAAGCUUAAUGGAGGAAUUGAUGUUCUAACAAACAUGACAUUCCUGAAGGAGGUUUGGUUGCAUUCCAAUAACUUUUCGGGGCCGUUGCCGGACUUUUCAGGAUUAAAGGCUUUGGAGGCAUUGAGUCUUAGAGAUAAUGCCUUUACUGGUCCCGUGCCAAGUUCUUUGAUGAAUCUUGAGUCUUUGAAGUUCGUUAAUUUGACGAAUAAUUUCUUUCAAGGACCAAUGCCGGUGUUCAAAGGUUCUGUUGUUGUUGAUUCGGCAAAAGGUACAAAUAGCUUUUGCUCGUCACAACCAGGUGAUUGUGAUCCUAGAGUAAAUACAUUGCUUUCAAUUGCAAAAGCAAUGGAUUAUCCAACAAAUUUUGCGAAGAACUGGAAGGGAAAUGAUCCCUGUGCUGAUUGGUUUGGUCUUACUUGCAGUAAUGGUAACAUUACUGUCAUAAAUUUCCAGAAAAUGGGGCUUUCAGGAACAAUUUCUCCUGAAUUUGCUUCACUGAAGUUGCUACAAAAAAUAGUUCUUGCAGAUAAUAAUCUGACUGGUACAAUUCCAGAAGAGCUAACCACAUUGACAGGCCUUACAGAGUUAGAUGUGUCAAACAAUCAAAUUUAUGGAAAGGUACCAGCUUUUAGGAAAAAUUUGAUUCUGAAAUUUAGUGGUAACCCUGAUAUUGGAAAGGAUAAGAGUGAUGCACCUUCCCAAGGCAGUUCUCCAGGUGGUUCAACAGGCUCUGAUGAUGGAAAUGCCCAAGCAGCUCGUAAGAAGUCCAAUCGCCGGGUUGGAAUUGUGGUGUUUUCUGUAAUUGGAGGUGUAUUUAUGCUUUGUUUGAUUGGAGUGGCAGCUUUCUGUCUGUACAAAAGCAAACAAAAGCGUUUUAGCCGAGUGCAAAGUCCAAAUACCAUGGUGUUGCAUCCACGUCAUUCUGGUUCUGACAAUGAUAGUGUGAAAAUCACAGUUGCAGGAUCUAGUGUCAGUGUUGGUGCAGUUACUGAAACUCAUACUGUUUCUGCUAGUGAAGCCGGUGAUGUUCAAAUGGUUGAAGCAGGAAAUAUGGUGAUUUCCAUCCAAGUACUGAAGAAUGUGACCAACAAUUUUAGUGAAGACAACAUACUAGGCCGGGGAGGCUUUGGCACUGUCUACAAAGGUGAAUUGCAUGAUGGGACUAAAAUUGCAGUCAAAAGAAUGGAAAAUGGAAUCAUCACUGGGAAGGGACUAGCUGAAUUCAAAUCCGAGAUUGCUGUAUUGACUAAGGUCAGACAUAGGCAUCUUGUUGGACUACUUGGGUACUGUCUUGAUGGAAAUGAGAAACUUCUAGUCUAUGAAUACAUGCCUCAAGGAACAUUAAGCAGUCAUCUCUUCAACUGGGCAGAAGAAGGGCUUAAACCCCUGGAAUGGACAAAACGAUUGACCAUUGCAUUAGAUGUUGCUAGGGGUGUAGAGUACCUCCAUAGUUUAGCCCACCAGAGUUUCAUUCACAGGGAUCUGAAGCCUUCAAAUAUUCUUCUAGGGGAUGAUAUGAGGGCUAAAGUUGCAGAUUUUGGCCUUGUCAGACUUGCCCCAGAAGGGAAAGGUUCUAUAGAGACAAGGAUUGCUGGGACAUUUGGAUAUUUAGCACCGGAAUAUGCAGUAACAGGGAGAGUGACAACCAAGGUGGACGUGUUCAGUUUCGGUGUGAUUUUGAUGGAGCUCAUCACAGGAAGAAAGGCUCUUGAUGAAAGCCAGCCUGAGGAGAGCAUGCAUCUAGUAACAUGGUUCCGAAGAAUGCAUCUGAAUAAGGAUACAUUCAGAAAGGCAAUUGACCCCGCAAUUGACCUUAGUGAGGAAACACUCGCCAGUGUCAGCACUGUAGCUGAGCUAGCUGGCCACUGUUCUGCAAGGGAGCCAUAUCAAAGGCCUGACAUGGGCCAUGCUGUCAAUGUUCUUUCAUCUCUUGUGGAGCUCUGGAAACCAUCCGACGAGUGCUCAGAGGACAUAUACGGCAUUGAUCUCGAUAUGUCAUUGCCCCAAGCACUCAAAAAGUGGCAGGCUUAUGAAGGUACAAGUCACAUGGAUUCAUCCUCUUCUUCUUACCUUCCAAGCUUGGAUAACACUCAAACAAGCAUACCUACUCGCCCCUACGGAUUUGCCGAGUCAUUUACAUCUUCUGAUGGUAGGUGAGAAGUUGACACUCUUUGAUCUAGGUUUGGUUGUUCAUUCUCUCCGUUUUCUUCCUCAUCGCGAGUCACACAUAAUUUUUUUCUUCUUUUUUUUUGCUUUUAACUCUGAUGCUUUUACCUUAACUCAUUGUUAGUUUUGGCACUGUGGUGAAUAGGGAUUCUUUUUAAGAUUUUUGUUGUCUUUUGACUCUUAUUGUAUGAUGAUACUCUCUCUUUUCCAUGUGAAUACAUUGUGGUUUGGGAAAUGAAAGGGAUGCCAUCAAUUACCAGUAGAUCAUUGUACUUAUGUAUUCUUCAAUUGUUUUUUUGUUAGAAAACUUUGUAGGUGCAAGCUGUAUUGAAAUGUAAAGUGGCUUUGAAGUGUGCAAAUCAUAAUGUUAGCUUUUUGCUUAUGAUGCUUUUUCAAGCAAAAUGUAAAGUUUUUUGUUAUGAU